rnacentral:rRNA from 1 species
GUCCUCCCAACAGAACAAACCCCCCGGCGUAAAAUGCGCCAAGGAAUCUUAAAUGAAAAGAGAAGGUAACCAGCACCCUAGCGUGCCGGGAAACGAAUUCGCAAGGGGGGCUGGUUUCCUUGGUUAAAAACUUAAUGACUCUUCGCCACCGAUAUUUUGGCUUUUCCCUUCAUUAAAAACGUAACGAAAUGGCAUACUUGGUGUGAAUUGCAGAAUCCCGUGAACCAUUCAGUUUUUGAACCCAAGUUGCGCCCAAAGCCUUCCGGGCCAAGGGACGUCUGGCUGGGUGGUAUGUUCCGUUGCCCCAUUCAAAUUCCUUUGGGGGGAAAACCGAAUAGGGGUGGAAAAUGGUCUCCCGUGGGGCCCCGCUCGGGGGUGGCCAAAAUUUGAAUCCUUGGGGAAUAUGCCACC